rnacentral:rRNA from 1 species
CCCAGACUCCUACGGGAGGCAGCAGUGGGGAAUAUUGCACAAUGGGGGAAACCCUGAUGCAGCGACGCCGCGUGAGUGAAGAAGUAUUUCGGUAUGUAAAGCUCUAUCAGCAGGAACGAGACAAGACGGUACCUGACUAAGAAGCCCCGGCUAACUACGUGCCAGCAGCCGCGGUAAUACGUAGGGAGCAAGCGUUGUCCGGAUUUACUGGGUGUAAAGGGUGCGUAGGCGGCCCUGCAAGUCAGAAGUGAAAUCCAUGGGCUUAACCCGUGAACUGCUUUUGAAACUGUAGGGCUUGAGUGAAGUAGAGGCAGGCGGAAUUCCCGGUGUAGCGGUGAAAUGCGUAGAGAUCGGGAGGAACACCAGUGGCGAAGGCGGCCUGCUGGGCUUUAACUGACGCUGAAGCACGAAAGCGUGGGUAGCAAACAGGAUUAGAUACCCCCGUA